GUCACCAGCGAGGCUCAGUUCCUGCAGUUCACCUGAUGGCGUACACCUUCAAACAGAAUUAACAGGGAACUUCAACUCGACGCUCCCAAUGCUGAUCUUGAAGAAGCUGUCAAGGAGGCUGAACAAGUCCUUCACAGCUGAAAGGGAAGACCAAAGGAAGGCCUGUCAUGGGAUUUGAAUUUGACCAUCUUGUGCGUUUAUGGAGAAGACCAAAAGCUACAAAGGCAAACACUUCCAAUGGAUUUCUCACAGAUUACUUAGUCCUUCUCCAUCAGCUCUCAACAAUAUCAGCCCUUCCAAAAGCUUCCACAUCUCUUUCUCACGUGUGGCACAUCUGCUCUCAGUCCUUUACUGCCAACUUCCAGUCUUAGCAUGUCUACUUGUAUUAAUUUCUCCUCUACAGUCAUCACUCCCAUCUCUACUAGAAGCAUUCCUAUCACUAUAUAUUUCAUUUCAUAUUCUUGCUAAAAAUGGUUGACUUUAAUCAUUAUAAUUAACCAUUAAUUUGUCUUGCAUUUAGUCACAAUAGAAGCAAACAGUGAUUACAGGAGAUAUAUUU